rnacentral:rRNA from 1 species
AAUUUUGGACAAUUGGGGAAACCCUGAUCCAGCCAUCCCGCGUGUAUCAGGAAGGCCUUCGGGUUGUAAAGUACUUCUGGCCUAGAAGAAAAGGUAUCCCCUAAUACGGGAUACUGCUGACGGCAUCUGCAGAAUAAGCACCGGCUAACUACGUGCCAGCAGCCGCGGUAAUACGUAUGGUGCAAGCGUUAAUCGGAAUUACUGGGCGUAAAGGGUGGGUAGGCGGGUCGGAAAGAAAGAUGUGAAAUGGCGGGGCGCAACCAUGGAACUGCAUUUUUAACUGCCGAGCUAGAGUAUGUCAGAGGGGGGUAGAAUUCGACGUGUAGCAGUGAAAUGCGUAGAUAUGUGGAGGAAUACCGAUGGCGAAGGCAGCCCCCUGGGAUAAUACUGACGCUCAGACACGAAAGCGUGGGGAGCAAACAGG